UACAGAGGGUGCAAGCGUUAAUCGGAGUUACUGGGCGUAAAGGGCGCGUAGGGGGUUGGGGAAGUCGGCGGUGAAAGCCCGGAGCUCAACUCCGGGUCGGCCGUCGAGACUCCUCGGCUCGAGCUCACUAGAGGCAGAUGGAAUUCCGGGUGUAGCGGUGGAAUGCGUAGAUAUCGUAAGGAAGACCAGUGGCGAAGGCGGGUCUCUGGACAGUUCCUGACGCUGAGGCACGAAGGCCAGGGGAGCAAACGGG
rnacentral:rRNA from 1 species